GGAGACGUCCUGAAUUCUGAGGGGAGGUCUUCAAUCUAUGGGAUUCAGCCAUCCCGGACGGCUGCCCACCCCUGGUCGGGACGGUGCCGGACGGCCGCGGCGACGACGACUCGCACGCGCGCCCGCUCCCGGCGACCGCCCGCCGGGGCGACUGGCUCCGCUCACUCCGAUUGGCGCAAUUCCCCCCCUGUGAGAACGUCGCGACCCGUUGGGCGCCCAGUGCCCCAGGGGCCUGGGGUGGCAGACCGCGCUCGGGGACGAUGAGCACCAGCGCGGACCCCCACGCACCCGGCCGGCGCCCGACGGAAGGAAUGAGGAGACGGUCCGCAGACACGAUGCGUCCGCUCCGGGGAUCGCGCCCUCCCGCUGGGUACACAGGAGGUUAGUCACGCCUCCCCCAGGCCGGGAGCGACGUCGUGAACCGGUCAGUCUCGGACAGUGACCACGUGCUCCGGUCGCGCGACGAGCAAACCUUCGGACGGUCUCCCG
rnacentral:rRNA from 1 species